rnacentral:rRNA from 1 species
UAAGUGCUGAAAGCAUCUAAGCAUGAAGCCCCCCUCGAGAUGAGAUUUCCCAACUUCGGUUAUAAGAUCCCUCGAAGAUGACGAGGUAAAUAGGUUCGAGGUGGAAGCGUAGUGAUACGUGGAGCUGACGAAUACUAAUCGAUCGAAGACUUAAUCAAAUU